GUAGGUGAAGGUCAUAUGACUCUAACAUAUGUCACCCCAGUGACUGCCAAGGUAGAUCUAUGGCAGUCUGUUUCCCCUUCCUCUCUGCUUCAUGUGUGUUUUUCCAGACAGUCCUUUUUCAAAGAGGAAGACCUUCCCUGAUCCUCAUACCAUUCUUUGGGCAAGGACACAGAAGGAGCAGCUUUUACCUGCCGCAACAAAGAAGGGUACUAAUACCUCCCCCCAAAAAAAGGCUGAGAAGACACUAGUAGUUAUCUGCCUAUAUGU
rnacentral:sRNA from 1 species